UCCAUCCAACGUCGUCGGGAUCUCACUGGCACCGCCAACGGCCAACAGUACCAGGACUGCCGCUGCAAGUGGAAAUUCCCACCGCGGGCAUUUCACCAUCUCUUCGCCUCUCCCUUCGUUUACACUGGGGCAUUUAGAUAAUGGUAGGGUUUUGGUUGUGGAAGGGAAAUAAAUGCAACAAGUGAUAAGGGCGGCUGUGUAGGGUUUUGUUUUUGUUUUUCUUUU
rnacentral:lncRNA from 1 species